rnacentral:tRNA from 1 species
GCCGGGGUGGCGGAAUGGUAGACGCGGCGGACUCAAAAUCCGCUGAGUGCAAGCUCGUGGGGGUUCAAAUCCCCCUCCCGGUACCG